UACGAAGGGGGCUAGCGUUGCUCGGAAUCACUGGGCGUAAAGCGCACGUAGGCGGAUUGCUAAGUCAGGGGUGAAAUUCUGGAGCUCAACUCCAGAACUGCCUUUGAUACUGGCGACCUUGAGUCCGGGAGAGGUGAGUGGAACUGCGAGUGUAGAGGUGAAAUUCGUAGAUAUUCGCAAGAACACCAGUGGCGAAGGCGGCUCACUGGCCCGAUACUGACGCUGAGGCACGAAAGCGUGGGGAGCAAACAGGG
rnacentral:rRNA from 1 species